CGGAGCAGGUUUGAGAUGCAGCGUAAAUUGCCAUGGCAGCAUACCUCGGUUAAAACCUAUCCACCUUUCAUAGUACGGGUUAAUCGGGAAGUUAGGCCACACGUGAUCAAGUUACUCUCGAACUUACAGAUAAGCCAGAAACCCUGCUUCGUAGUACAGGCCCCUGCUUGAAGCAUCUUGUGUCU